AACGAACGCUGGCGGCAGGCUUAACACAUGCAAGUCGAGCGCCCCGCAAGGGGAGCGGCAGACGGGUGAGUAACGCGUGGGAAUCUACCCAUCUCUACGGAAUAACGCAUGGAAACGUGUGCUAAUACCGUAUACGUCCUUCGGGAGAAAGAUUUAUCGGAGAUGGAUGAGCCCGCGUUGGAUUAGCUAGUUGGUGGGGUAAAGGCCUACCAAGGCGACGAUCCAUAGCUGGUCUGAGAGGAUGAUCAGCCACACUGGGACUGAGACACGGCCCAGACUCCUACGGGAGGCAGCAGUGGGGAAUAGUGCACAAUGGGCGCAAGCCUGAUCCAGCCAUGCCGCGUGAGUGAUGAAGGCCCUAGGGUUGUAAAGCUCUUUCACCGGUGAAGAUAAUGACGGUAACCGGAGAAGAAGCCCCGGCUAACUUCGUGCCAGCAGCCGCGGUAACAC
rnacentral:rRNA from 1 species